rnacentral:rRNA from 1 species
UGGGGCUAAAUUUGACUCACCACGGGGGAAACUUACCAGUCCAGCCAUAGGAAGGAUUGCCAGAUUGAUAGCUCUUUCUUGAUUCUAUGGGUGGUGGUGCAUGGCCGUUCUUAGUUGGUGGAGUGAUUUGUCUGGUUAAUUCCGAUAACGAACGAGACCUCCGCCUGCUAAAUAGUAUAUAUUAUUUUGAAUAAUGUAUACUUCUUAGAGGGACACUAUACGUAUGAGUGUAGGGAAGCUGGAGGCAAUAACAGGUCUGUGAUGCCCUUAGAUGUUCUGGGCUGCACGCGCGCGACACUGAUCUAUUCAACAAGUGACUGAAUCGAUAGAUUUGGUAAAUCUUUUGAAAAUAGAUCGUGAUGGGGAUUGAUGCUUGAAAUUUUUCAUCAUGAACGAGGAAUUCCUAGUAAACGCAAGUCAUCAACUUGCAUUGAUUACGUCCCUGCCCUUUGUACACACCGCCCGUCGCACCUACCGAUUGAAUGAUCCGGUGAACACUUUGGAUUUUCUAUUUUUUAAUUGUAACAGAUUAAAGAAUAGAAGAGAAGUCGUGUAAAUCUUAUCAUUUAGAGGAAGGUGAAGUCGUAACAAGGUAAC